rnacentral:rRNA from 1 species
AGAGUUUGAUCAUGGCUCAGAUUGAACGCUGGCGGCAAGCCUAACACAUGCAAGUCGAGCGGCAGCGAAAGAAAGCUUGCUUUCUUGUCGGCGAGCGGCAAACGGGUGAGUAAUAUCUGGGGAUCUACCCAAAAGAGGGGGAUAACUACUAGAAAUGGUAGCUAAUCCGCAUAAAGUUGAAAAACCAAAGUGGGGGAUCUUUUUUUUUCUCAUGCUUUUGGAUGAACCCAGACGAGAUUAGCUUGUUGGUAAGGUAAAAGCUUACCAGGCCGUUA